AGCUCCAUCUCGAGCACUGAAACGUUUGUGAAGAUUAACACGCUUAUGAGGGGGGCACAUGGUCUGCAUUAGCCCGCUGAAAUGUGCAUGUUAUUAACACAACUCCUGUUGACAAAGCCACAGGUAUUAACACUAUAAAGCAUCUUGACAGCUGGACCGAGGAGGGGGGACGCGCAGAGGGUGCGAGCAACACCUUUGUGAGCUUUUAAUUGCUUUCCGAGUUGUGCCUGUACGUUUCUCUCCCCUAGCAGACGCUGCCGGUUGGGGAGAUGGCCUUGGAGGAAGAGCUACGCAGAGCGAGUUCUGCGAGGCACCAUUAUCUCCCCAGCCCUGGCACAGAAAACCGCGUUGCGCCGGAGCAGGGAACGGCGGCGACGCUGCAGCUGGAGAUGGGCCCAGCGGCAAGCCUGGAUCCGAACCGCCCGCGAGCCUGACAGACGGGCUCUGCAUUUUUUGGCUAUGCACCCUGUCUAGAAAAGGCCAAACCCCUGGCUCCGAGCACUCCCCAAACUUUGGGCAGCACGAAGAGCCACGUCUGAGCUCGCCGGGUCCGGCCAGCCCUCGGCGCGGCAGGACGGGCAGGGCUCUGCCUCCUCCCCUGCUGAGCUCCUGUCCCAGCAGCACAGCGAGCCGGGCUGCUUCCUUGGGCCGUUUUACGCAUCCUUCCAUCCCGGAGCGAUUUGGGGUCUGCCCCCCCCCCGCGAUGGGACGCACUCGCUGGGCUCUGUUUGAGGGCGCAGCGCAUGCGAGAGGAGCUCCCCGACCCCAGCGCCAAGCGAGGACUUUGCAGGAGGGUCUGACACCGCGGCACGAGUCACCCCGGGGAAAAAAAAAAAAAACAUCACGGCGACACAAACCAGAGCCAGGCGGACAGAGACGGCCGCUCAGCUGGGCCGCAUCUGCACGAGGCUGGGCUGGCAGCCAGCGAAGAAAGGUUGUGGCCCUUUCCUGGCUCCACGCAAUGACAAAAGGCCUCUUAAAAGUCUGCUGUCACCUCUCUGAAUUAAAACCAAAGACUCCAGGGGUUUAUUUGCUCUGGGAUCGUCCUUUUGGCUGCCGGUGGGGGUUGCAGGACAGCAGCCAGUGAUGUCCUCCAAGUUUUACCAAGAGCUACAUCCACCCACAAUCAGCUCUGUGUACGAGCACGGCUGGCCACGCUCCUGGGACAGCUCGUGGCCAUUGGGAGAUCCAAAAUUGUGUCUUGGUGAUGCUCCAGUUCCUGCUCGGCCACGGCGGGACGAUGCCACAGGGACUGGCACAGCGCUGGCCUCCAGCAGGGCUGGUUUUGCCUUGAGAGCACGGUGGUGAACAGCUCAUCUGCAACCUGCCUGCUCGUCGAGGUCUUCCCCCCACGCGCUUCGAAGUCCAGAGGUCUCCAAGCAAACAUCAGCAAUGUUUUCCCCCUCUCCUGCCGCCCCACCAGGACUUGUGGGGCCCCCAGAAAUAGCACGAGUUAAACACUCGGCGCGAGUCCCUGCCUUCAAACUUUUUAUUGAUUUUACUAAAAAGCAUAGGUAAUUACUUUCCCGACAAAGACAGCGACGCGGUAAUGGUAAGUUAUAAAUAACGAUGAAUAAAUAAUACACGUUGGGAAAACAGCAGCGUGCUGCCCCAGCUGUUCGCAGCCAGCGUGGAGAGCAUAAAUAAAGGGAAAGGAAAAGGCAAAGAAAAGCCCGGGCAGAGCGCGGGUGCCGCCGUGUUACGGGAUGGGCUUCGAGGGCCGUGGCUGUGCUGGGAGCAGGGAGGGAAUUAGGGCUGGAAAUGAGGCUGGGGGCUCGUGCUGCAGGCUUCAGCGUGGGGUUUCGUUCUGCCAGGAGCCACCUCCUCCAAGGACCAUCCCUGCAGGGCGGGGAGGAAUUCAUGCAAAUCGGGAACAAAAAGCACAUUCUUUUGCAGUGGAAAUAGAAAGAGGAGAGGAUUU